rnacentral:lncRNA from 1 species
UGACCUCUGACUCCCAAGCCCGGGCUCUUUCCACUUUGCAGCCAGAAGAGUUUGGAUCUAGCCAGGAGGCUCUGUGAUUUAAAUUCUGAAUUCCUGCACACUCUCUAAGAAAGACUGGGAAUGACAAGUCUGCGGAUGAGCAAAGUGAUUUACACUCUACUAAAACCAAACCCACCUUUAAAUGCAACCGUGAAAUCUGGUUUUCAAUCGACCGAAAAAGAGAAGCCAUCAGUUCCCGCACGGGGUUCGGGGCUUCAGACUGCAUUAGGAGAGCAACUGGAGCAGAGCAACACAAAGAAUAACGCCCUUGACCUAGGUCGUCCAAGACUGAGGUACUGGGAGCCAUUUACACUUGUCAGGCGAGGCCGAGAACAGGAGGACCAUCGCCUUCACGUUCGCGCUCAGGAGACUGACCGAAAUUUCGCCCCGCUCUUCGAGCGCUCUCUCGGCCGCUCUUGAGAAUGGAGAGAUCCACCAGGGAGCUGUUCCUCAACUUCACAGUGGUCCUGAUAACCAUAAUCCUCAUAUGGCUUUUGGUGAGAUCCUAUCAGUACUGAGAGACUAUAUAGCCAAAGCUCUUCGGAUUAAACCGCGCCGAGCGUCUACGGGAGCAUGUGACCGCUACCGUGCCGUGGGGCGGGGUGGGGGGAAAUCUCUCUCUCUGCGCCCCCAGCUACGAAUCUCGCAACCCGUGGGAGCUAAGCUAUGAGGCGAUUUUCCCGUUCUCCACAUUGUCUGCCGCUUGUGUUUAGCCCGACGGUCUUCGACCGGUUCUGCGUCGGUGGGAUUCUAGGGUCUCCAAAAAAAUGCUGCCUUCACAAGCAGGGCGGGUCGGCCGGAGGCCGUUAGAUUCGUUCCGCAACUCUGAGCGUAAGGGCCAGUGGGUCGACAAGUCUCCGCGUCGGUUUUGGAAUCGGGUUGAUUUCUCGUCCGGGGAUUGUAAAUGCAGUGUAUUUGACCUUGCAAAUUGUUACUGAGUCAAAUGGCCUCAGAGGGGGGAAAAUGUCAAAUCCGUUAUUGUCACGUCCUAUUACUUUCACCGAAAUAAAAGAAAAAAACGUAAAAACGGAUUUUAGAAUUUCUUUGCCCUCUCCUCGUAUUACUACGUCUGGAUGAAAGGGGUUAAAAUGGCACAAGAUAUGCCACUUUGAAACUACCUGAGGGUUCCAGCGGUCCGAGAUCUGAACAUAGGUUAAACCAGGGGCGUCAUAUCUCUUCUGGUCUUGGCCGUUUUCAUCUGUUAAACCUAUAUUCACUUCC